rnacentral:lncRNA from 1 species
UAUAUAUACAUAUGUCAAGAAUAUAAUACAAAUGAAAUACAAAGUGAUCAUAGAUUAUAACUGACAAAUAAACUGAAUUAAAGAACUACUAAGUAGUAUCUUCAUAAAUUUAAAGAAUGAAGCAUAACAAAUUAAAAAUUCUAUGAAAUACAAAUGAAAUAUAAAUUUCAUACCCGCCUCGUACAAACAUAUUCCACCUUAAGGGAAUGGGAGGGAGGGUUUUGAAAAAAGAACAAACGACG